rnacentral:rRNA from 1 species
GACGAACGCUGGCGGCGUGCCUAAUACAUGCAAGUCGAACGCAGUGGUGACGGGUGAGUAACACGUUGGUAACCUCCCAUCAGAGGGGAUAACACUUGGAAACAGGUGCUAAACCGAUACUGAUGGAUGGACCCGCGGGGCAUUAGCUAGUUGGUGAGGUAACGGCUCACCAAGGCCACGAGGCAUAGCCGACCUGAGAGGGGGAUCGACCACCCUGGGACUGGGACACGGACCAGACUCCUGCGGGAGGGAGCAGAAGGGAAUCUGAGGCAAUGGACGAAAGUCUGGCCGAGCAACGCCGCGGGAGUGAAGAAGGUUUUCGGAUCGUAAAACUCUGUUGUUAGAGAAGCGGUAUCUAACCAGAAAGCCACGGCUAACUACGUGCCAGCAGCCGCGGUAAUAC